GUCUCUGGUUUUAGUCAUGAUGGCGGGGAAAGUUUUCAGCAAUCUGUUUCGCUUUUUCUUCAUGUAUGUGGUUGUGGCUUCUAGUGGAUUAUCAAUAAUCGUGCAGGGUGUUAUUUCAGUUCUAUUUCAUGUAAUCUCCUUUAAAAACGUUUUUUCCCACUUUCUCAUUUUUGCUCGAGUUCAUCGUCUGACCAGGUCUGACCAGGGCUGACUGCCACACAAGGCUGGAAACUAAACCACGUAAGCAAAUUCUACUGUAGUGCAAAGCUGCAUAUUUUGUAGACAGAGAAGCUGGCAUGCAGCAAAGAAAACCUGAAUGCUGAUGUAAAAGACCUUAAAUGGAUCUGAUUAACACCAAAGAAUUCCAGAGGAAGAAUAUUGAACUUGAGUACCAUUAUUGAAAUUGUCAAUGGUUCAUCAUCUCCGAUUUUUAGCAUAAAUGAUGUGGCAGUCGUUGUUAGUUAUGGAGUAACUAUAUUUGGACGUCAAAGCGGCUGAUGUUAGCGCCCAUUUUUGGGCAAUUUUGGAAGAAAAGCAGUUCCAACUAAGCCAUUAGAUGGUAUCAUCACUAUCAUGAAUAGACAAACACAGAAUAAGUGUUAGCAAUACAAUUGCUGUUGGCGAAAACGGAUCUGGUUUGAUGAGAUGUCAUUCUCGAGGAUCACCUACAUGGCUUCUCGUCAAAAUUUUCUACUGGAACCAUUUGCCAAAGCGUGGAUUAGCUUGACAAUUGACUUCACAAAUCACAACGACCAAGAUUCUGGAAUCAAGAAUUAAAAGAGAACCGUCUGCGUACGUGCGUAGAGGACAUUAGAUGUGGAUUCAACCGUUGGCCAAUCGACUUUUGAUUGAUCGGGUUACUGGCCUUGGCUACGUGGAUCUUGGGUCACAUACCUGGAAUUCAGAGAGAAACAGCUGUGAUCUUUGGGAUAUGAAUAUCAGGUAUGUUUUUAUUCGCAAUUGACCAAAGAAUUCUGCUUAUGUACAGUUGACAGAGCACAACAAAACUCGCGGUAAUGAAGCCUGAUUAACGUAAGCUGCCAAAAUUCAGCAAAAAUGCAACAGGGUAAGACCAGACUUUGGAUGGAACAAAGAGCCGUUCGUCAGUGAUGUUGAUGGAAUAACCGGCAUCCUGAUGUCUUCGCUGCUGCUAUUUCUGCUAUUAUUGUUGCUAUCCUGUGUUUAAUGAGGUUUUUCCAGCACAUUGGUGCGGUGACAAAAUGUGUUUGAUCAUGUUGCAUUCGUUACGUAACUUCUGAACAAACAGCAGCAGCUUCCGUUACGCCUCCGGUAACCAAAUGGGUUAUUACACCACAUAAAUUCCAACGGCUGCGAGAUUUGCAUGUACUAUAGAACCGCAACAGGUAAUUUUCGAAAGCGAGUUGAACUCUUUUAUCCAAACACCCUAGCUAUCAGCGGAGACAUUCCCGAAAUGGUGCAAGCUCGUGGGAAAUUUUUAAACUCUUAUUGAGUAGGCCCGCAAUCGCACUAGAUUGUAAUUAAGUUGCGUUUGCUUGACUGACAGGUUCGCGAUCUGCAUCCAAAAGAGUUGCAGUGUGUGCAUGAUAACCGCUUUCUUAUUUUUUCCUAGCGUCUAAAUUAUUUCAAAAUGACGUUGCCAUAAAUCCCGAGAGCAGGUGAUUUACCAAAUGUGCUGCAAGCCCAAGAGAACGUUACUGGCCAAAUGUGCUUGCAAUCCUAAGAGAUGGCGUUAUCGGCCAAAUAUGCUAGAACUCCAAGAGAUGGCGGUGGUAAAAUAUGCAAGAAAGGCUAUAAAUGGCGCUAAGUACGGAACGGAAUGAAAGCAGCAAAGAUGGCGUUAACUACAAAUGUGCAAGAAAGCCCAGAGAUGGCACUAACUACCAUACGUGCAAGAAAGCAGAGAUGCACUGACGGCAAAUGCAUGGUGUCGACAAUCCCUGAAGUUUAACAGUCACUUAUUAAAUAUUUCUUGGAAUCGAAGUGUAAGUGACGUUUCCUCCAGCGCUCUUGAAUCAAAUCAUUAAGAAAAAUUUGUAGUAAAGGGCAAUAAUGUGCAGCAGUGAAGGAAGUAUGCACGUACGUUCUGCACUUCAAUUUGUUUGUUUGAAAUACUUGUACAUGGAAGGUGAUGCAAGGAAAAAGGCAAUAUCCAGUGUAUGAUCAAGCAAAUUGUUUUCUGUGUAACGAAAGUAUGCACAGAAAUGAGAAAGCCUAUACAUUGCUGCAACUGUUGUGAUAUUAAAUAAUGCAGACUAUCUCAGGUCGAUCAGGUAUAUGUGGAAUAAGAAUAAUAUCUCAAGUCAAGAUUGAAACCUGCAACUUUAGGAAAGAGGCUCUCAAUGUUCUUUAUGGCAGAUGCCCUAAAUUUAGAAACAAUGUUCAGCAAAAAAUAGCAGUAAUUUGUUUUGCGAAAAAGUUACAAGUAUGACACCAGAUUUGAGAUAACAACCAGCUAUAAGUUUUAGGCCAACAAAGAAGAAAGAUCGUUUUGUUUGUUCGUAGUCUUGUUUGUGCAGUAACCUUAUCCCUGAAGUCAAUAUAUGUGAUACGAAAACUAGAUUUUUUUUUGCUUUUAAUUAAUGGGUUCACUCGAUUCUACGCUUCUAUUUCAAUUCCUUUGUUUAUCUGUUUUUAUAAGAUAAAAAAUAGAUGUGAAAUAGUUUUAAUAUAAAGAUACUUAAGAUAGCCAUUUAUCGCCACACAGACACAAAAUUCAAACAACAGGAUAAUGGGGCAUUCCAGACUUUCCAGAAUCCAGAGCACUUAAUACAUUCGACUACUCUCCUGGUGGCGGACAUAAGAAGUUCAACAUGAAUCUUGAUUUUGUUUUAAAUUUUUACGUGGAACCUGUUAUCCACGUAAAUAUGAUGUCGAUUUUAAUGAUAGCUGUUAAAUUUUGAAUGAAAAUCUGGUGUUUUUAACCAGGUCUAGAAUUUAGUCAAAAAUGAAAAAGUGAGAAGGCUAUACCCUUCUCAUUUUUGCCAAAAUCGGCAAAAAACUAAAUCUCUUGGAAUCCGUUUAAAAUCACACGUAAUACUAAACAUAAAUUGCUUAUUUAGGAAAAUUGAUUUGUUUUCUCGUCAAUUUAUCUGCUUUAGAAAUAUUUUAAAUAAUUGUACUGUGUGACGCUAGCGCUACAUUGUGCUAGCGCGCCAGCUUUUUUACCCAUUUUUAACGUUUAUUUCAGGAGUUUCAAGUCCCACGAGACAACGAACUCAAUUUUUGAAUCUGUUAGUUAAAUUUUAAAUGCAAAUCCCGUAUUUUCAUAUUAAACUGAGGUUUAAAAAAGUACAAAAUUGGCAAAAAAGUGGGGCUUAUGUUGUCGGGCUUAUUUCGAAGCUUGAUAGGUGAUUGGGUUACAGAUAGAAAAACAAGAUGGCGUUAUUGUUCUUCCAUGAUGACUGACAAGGUGUAACGAGUAAAUUAGCUGUUAGCGAUGUUUCUUAACUUUCUUGUGCUUGAAAGGAUUUCUCACGUGAAAAUUAACAGGUUUCCCUCAUUAUCAGCUAUUCAGGCUGCUGAUCCAGAAAAUACUAAACUACCGAUGUCUUUUUUCUGUUAUGUCAUCUCUCAUUGAAGAUGAGCUCAGCCCUUUUCAGUCUCCCAUUUAACCAAAUGGCAUAUCUCAUUUCAUUGAAAUCAUGAUCUUUAAACUAAAUGCACAAGUCUUCACUUACUUUGCAUUGACAUCUGAUCAACCAUUAUCUAAAUUAUCCAGUCUACAGCAGUUUUCCAUCCUAGCCAAAAAUCAAACAGUAGUAUCUCAAUCAUCCAGCCAUCACUACUUCCGAACUUAAGUCAGCUAUCGUUUAUAGACUUCAACUUCUUUUCACGAACUUCGAAAUUUUGGUCGUUGGAUCCCGUCUUGACCAUAUCUUCACCUUUUUCCGUAGCUGACCAACACGCAUAGACUUUAAAUGCUGUCGCCUUCAUUGAGAUUGUCAAUUGUUCAUCAUCAUCAUCUCUGCCGAAAAAUCGCUGUUCAAUUCAAGUCAUCAAGUCAUGCCUCCUUACGGAUCUUCCACGUGACGCCCACUUCUACUGGUAGAUAACAUUAUGGAAGGUUUGUGAUCCCCGAAAAACUCAUGGUGGUGGCGUACGGAGCAACGUGGAACGUCCCUUUCUUCUGUGGUAUUGUUUGUUUUGUUUUGUGGUUGUGAGUUAACCCAUUGGCUGCCACCCAUUUUGCUCCCCUUUUUUUUGUAGCUUUAGGGACCGGCCGCGCUGUCCUACCCCAUGGGGUGGGGCAGUUGCAAUGGCCUUCGCCGAAAGGCGUGUAGGCAAUGCACCAGUAGGGACUUCUCUUUGUUCGAUGCAGUGGCGGAUUCCCGAGGGUGUGCAUUCCCUGUAAAGGUUUCCGUCACUGUGUCAGCCCGGACUCGUCUUCGGACAAGUCCCUUUUGUUCGUGGAUCCUUCAGACGCGAUGCGUAAUAAGUAGAAAAACAACCUAUGGGUUGUAUGGCGUGGCAGCCAACGGGUUAACUAAUUGUAUGCAUGUAUGUAUGUAUGUAUGUGUAUUUGUAUGUAUGUGUAUGUAAAUGUAAUUUGAAAUAGUGGUGGAAUUGUGGGUGGAGGUGGGUAAAUACAAAAUUAAUUCCAUUUA
rnacentral:lncRNA from 1 species